rnacentral:lncRNA from 1 species
UUGAGUGGAUUAACUAGUUUGAGAACCCUGUAUCUCUAUAGGAAUCAACUUUCUGGUCCUAUUCCUCCUGAGUUGGGGAAGUUGACAUCACUCCAGGACCUAGAAUGAGAACCCUGUAUCUCCAUAAGAAUCAACUUUCUGGUCCUAUUCCUCCUGAGUUGGGGAAGUUGACAUCACUCCAGGACCUAGAAUUGAGCACAAACAAUCUCACGGGUCAAAUUCCAUCUUCGUUGAGUGGAUUAACUAGUUUGAGAACCCUGUAUCUCUAUAUGAAUCAACUUUCUGGUCCUAUUCCUCCUGAGUUGGGGAAGUUGACAUCACUCCAGGACCUAGAAUUGAGCACAAACAAUCUCACGGGUCAAAUUCCAUCUUCGUUGAGUGGAUUAACUAGUUUAAAAACCUUGUAUCUCCAUACGAAUCAACUUUCUGGUCCGAUUCCUCCUGAGUUGGGAAAGUUAACAUCACUCCAGGAC